CGGGCAGUAGCGCAGUCUGGUAGCGCACUUGCAUGGGGUGCAAGGGGUCGUGGGUUCGAAUCCCGCUUGCCCGA
rnacentral:tRNA from 4 species